AAGGGAGACCUAAUUCAGGUAUGGGACGAAAAAAAAGUAGUCGCUACCAAGAAUCAAUCCCAAAAGGUCGGAGCGAGGUAUGAGGCUUUCAAACUAGGUUCUGGGUUCAAACAAGACCUGAAUCAGGAACAAGGGCUAUUAGCUCAGGUGGUUAGAGCGCACCCCUGAUAAGGGUGAGGUCCCCGGUUCGAGUCCAGGAUGGCCCACCUGCACAGGUGGCAAAAACAAGAGAAGCGAGGAAUCAGCACCUUAUCUUAUCUAUAUAUAAGAGAGAAUGCUGGCUCUGAGUAAAGAGUCCAGAGGAACCUUGAAAACUGCAUAGAGCUAGGUGAAAAAGCCAAAAAAGAAGACCGCAA
rnacentral:tRNA from 1 species